UGUAGCUCAGUGGUAGAGUACUUGCCUAGAAAGCAAGAGCGCCAGGUUUUGAUCCCCAGCA
rnacentral:tRNA from 1 species